UAUAAAUUCACUGGUCCUCACUUACUGGACUCAGUCUUCAAAAUGGGAAUGAAAGCCAGAAAUGCUAUAUUUAUAGUCACAGAUCCGAUUGUUGUAACUCAGAUCAGUUGAACACAAGAAUAAGCUAGAGAAACAGGAGUACCACAUAAAUCACCACUUUUAUUAAUAAUUUUCCACUGGCUUUAAUGAAGCUGUCUUCUUUAUCAUCUCAGACAUGGUGAAAAGUUACUGCACUGUCUUUGUAGAGGCCUUUUCAGUCUCUUACACAUCUAAUUACCUAAUUGAGGGACAACUAGUUUACAGAGGAACAGAAUUUUUGCUCUGUGGUUUAUUUCUUUCUGUGGUUCCCUCUGAGAUUUCUGUAUUUUUUCUUUAUGAGGGUAUCCAUCUUCCAUGGAAGUUGACUGUGUGCUUUGGAGUGCAUUUGCUGAGGAUGGUGAGCAAGAGCUGCUGAGUGUCAAUAAAAGCAGAUCCAUGAAAAAAUCCAGUUGUUAAUCCAGUUCUCCAAAAAACAACCAAUGAAAGUACAUUGGUGUCACCCUUCAGCCCCUGUGCCACGAGGGUUCCCAGAUGAAGGCAGGCAGUGUUUGUGUCUUGAGCAAAUCCUGAGUGUGCUGAUGGCUGGUCCAGCCCCACAGCUAAGCCCACAAGCAAUUCAGGCAGUAUGGCACCUGUGUAAAAGGCAGCUGAGAUGUGGGGCUGGCAGAGACACCACAAUAUCCCUCUGUGCUUGAGAACAGUCGCAAAACUUUCCGGGGGAUGGGACCCGCUGAGACUGACUGCUCUCACCAGUGCUCAGCAUCAUCUCUUUGCCAGUGGAAGAAAUUAUGACAUGUGUCUCAAGACUUGUCUUUUUAAUGCCAGUAAUGUAAUUUCUUCCUUUUUCAAAAUUGAUUCAUUUGAAGGCCUUACUUUAGGCUGGUUUUCCAUGAACAUAUUCAUUUUUUUAGAAUGAAGUCAGGUUUUCCAAUUGCUUUCUUGAUUAGUCUAAUGAAUUUUCCUCCUUUCCUGUCAUCAAAUGCACUUUCCCAGAGGAUGGGACACUUCAUCUCUGAAGGAAAAUUAUUCUUCUGUGGCAGAAAAAAAUUUAAAAGAAGAUUUUGAAAACACCUGAUGAUUACGGGGUUCUCAAUAUCUCAGGUACUCAGUUCAAAACAUUGCAAAGUGACAGCAAAUGCUGAUUACUUGCCCUCUGUUCCCUGAUGUUAUUUAUUUGAGGUGUCCUAAAUUAGCAAACAAGACCAUCAUUCAUUUUUGAACCAAAAUAUGUCUCAGAAAUUCAAGCUUCUAAUUCAGCCCCAGUUCAGAAUGCUGUCUGAAUGUUGCCAAGCAUGAAGUUUAAACAAACAGAUAAAUAAAUACUUGGCUCUUUUUAAUUGCUUCUUGUUCUCUGAACUUUCCAGGUUUGUGCUUUCAAUGUAAUUCUUUUUGGAGAGAGACUUCUGUCUCUCUUUGCUUUCUAACUAACUGGCUAGGUUAACAUGCUAAAAAAAAACUUGCACAACAGAAGGAACUUUACUAAAUAAGAUAACUCUGCCUACAGCCUUAGCCUAAGCACAGAGACCAAAGCCUACACUCACCUUGGCUUUACAUCCCAGCUAACACCAACUAGUCACUGCACAAGUGAGGUGGCAGGUACUCUUCUGGUACAAAUUACAUCACUUUUUACCUGUCCUCUUAAUAUAUAUCAAGUAUUUCCUUUUUGUAGAUUUAUUAUUUACUCUUGCUAAAAAAUGGUGAUGAUAAUGUUCACUUCCUCCCUAGGUUUGAAUACUCAAAGACACAGUGAGUUUUCACCAAAUGUUCCUCAAAGAACAACUCAGUCUGAGAAAUCCUCCUAGAAAUCCAACACUUAUGCUCAUGAUCAGCCCUGCCAAUCCACUGCAGUCUGCAAACAGCCAUAGACAGGAUUCCAAACAGUUAAUGUCAAACAGCUCAUUUUCUCUCAUCUCCAUACAAAUUCCUGUCAUGUUGCAUUACAUGUAAACAACUGAGAAACUUAAUGACAUGCCUUUCAGUCAAAAAUUCAUAUGGCUUUUCAGUCUGAGCAGAUUAAUUGCAGUUUGUAACAAUAUGAAGUGAUUCAAUUUGAUUAGAGAUUCUAUUGUUCGUUGAGAUAAAAUAUUUUAUGUGAAUCUAAAAGCAAGCUUUUUGAUGGCAUGACUUUAUUGACUUCUGUGGAAAUAUAAAAUACUCAUCUAAAAUCCAUAGUAUAUCAUUGUUGGUGUGCUGCUACAGUAAAAAAAAAAUUAUAAGCUUCUGUAAAUUAUAUGUGCCAGAUCAGAUUCCAGGCCCCAUGGAAAUGUCAUUGUCAAUGAAGUGAGGCAGUCGGAAUAUUUGGCUUUGGAGGAGACAAUUCUGAAUGAAUCUUUUAGGUUUUUAUAAUUUUAAAGGGGUUUUCUAUUUCCAUUUUUUCAGCAUCCCUGUCUUCUUCUUGAUGUCUUGCCCUUAAAAUCGGCUUGUAAUUCUCUUUAGUUUCAUUCCUAGGUACUCUAGGGUCAUUUCUCUGUUCUUGCUACAGACAUUGCUCUGGUCUUCUGUAGUCAUCCCACAGACCCAAGCCCAGAAGCCCUGCAACACUGCUUGCUGCCAAUACAGAUAAUGUGAGGAACUUCAUGAAACCUCUGGGACCAAAGGAAAAACAGUAUAUGGAAGAGUACAAGCUACUGCACUUGGAGCUGAAGCUGUGUGUUGGACAGAGGAAGCAUGUAGUUCAUAUCACCAGUGGGAUAUGUUACAUACAGAUCACAUUAAACCAGGCUGCAGAAUUGAAGAUGUUUAAGUCAACAUGGUAAAAUCCUGAAAACGUGUUAAUAAAUGAGGAAAAAAAAAUUGCAUUAUCAAAAUACUGAGUCAAAAAUACUUUGGUAUGUAAUUUAUCAAAAUUAUUUUGGUAUGCGUAGAAAUCCUUUUUACAUAGAUUCUCCAUCUUUGUCCAUUUCUCAAAGACUUUUUUUUUUUUUUAUAUAUAUCCACUCAGAGUGCAUAGAAACUUUUAGUUUUGAUGGGAGGGAUUUUGAAAUAUGCUGUUUACACACUGCAUGUAAUAAUAUGAUUAGGAGGACAAUUACUGCAAAUUCUUUAAUUUCAGAGGCAGCAGACUACUAUUGUUACCCAUGUGUUUUGUCACUUGAGGAUUGGGAUUUUUAAGUUUUGUUUAUUUAGCCUAUCUGUUUGUAAGCCAUCACUCCUUAAGAAGUACCAUUUUGGUCUCACAUUUCAGUCUCAGAUUUGGGUGACCUGAUUACUUUGAUUAUUGAGGCUUCAAAGGCAUGUGGUUCAAACUAAUGAGAAAGUGUGUACAGGAGAUCAGAUUUACUGUCUAGUCUUGGAAAACACACAAUAAUUUUUUUUCUGUUUUCAUCAGGAUUUUUUUUUUAAUAGAUAAGAAACUUUUUUUUUAUUUUUAAUAAGAAACCUGAAAAUUAAUGCCUAAAAUCAAUCAGCUACAAUUCCUAUGAGAAUGGCCUAUCUGGAGCAGCUAGGUUUAUAUCCUCAAGGGACAGGCUGGAGAAAGUAGAGGGAAAAACCAGGAUUGUUUCUGUAUUGAUACAUUGAUCUGUUUGCCAUCAGUGUUAUUGUUGUGGUGGUGACAUGGGCUGUUAUAGCUCAGAGCAAAGAAUGCAGAAAUUAAGGGGUUUGCCACUACAGCUUGAAAUACUCAAAGGUGUAGUGUUUUCAGUAAGGAGAUAAUCCAAAGCCUACAAAGGCAGAAGAAAAACAGCCUUUGGCUCCAGUGGGCAUUGCAACAGGCCUUCAGAUGACUGGAAAUCAGCAGACUUCAUACUGUGAAAUUCUGUAUCAAGAAAAUGGUCUGGCAGAAAAUGGGGUGCACUGGAAAGGAGCAAAAGAUGCCAAAACAAAGCUCAGAGAUGCUGCAAAAUCAGGGGAAAAAUCAAAGAGGAUGAAAGAACGCUGAGGGGAAGACAGAUGUGAAAUGGCAUGGAGAGCAAAAAAAAAAUUUCAAAACUCUCCAUCCAAGCCAAAGCCAGCAAAAGGCAUGGCAUGCCAACAAGGGCAGGGCUAUGGACCAAAGCUUGCCACAUUCAUCCCCAUUGAAAUUUUGCAAGACAGUAGAGAAAGUCUCCCAAAGACUCUGGAAAGGAGAUAUGAUCAGGUGAAAUGCUAUUGA